CAUGUGAGGCUAAUCAGAAGCUAAUCAGUGAUCUCCGGCUGCAUCAGAGGACAUGUUGGUGAUCGUUCUCCGUGAAGAUGGACGUACUGAAGUUAACCAAGAAGAAACGCUCACCUGACGAGGAUCAUCUCUGAGGAGCUAGCAGCUGCCCCCGGGUCCGCUCUCCCGCCAUCUUCUCUGCCCUCCACCCCGACUCCCGGGCCUGGGACGCCAUUUUCACCACCAGCAGUCAGGAUGCCAUCAUCUACCUGCUGAACUGUGUCUACGCCCACCUAGACAAGCAGGGGAGGGUCACGUUCUUCUACUCCUCCAGUGCUUUCAAUACCAUCAGGCCGGCUCUACCGGGUGACUAGAUGACGACAAUGCUGGUGGAUCCCCCCCUUGUGUCCUGGAUUGUGGAUUAGCUCACUCAUCGACCACAGUAUGUCACUUGUGGUACUGUGUGUCAGAUGCAGUGGUUAGCAGCACCCACAAUGGACUGUCCUCUCUCCUUUCCUCGUCACCCUUUAUGCCAUAGACUUUCCAGAAGUUUCCAUCCUGGGGCAUAACGUGGACAACACUACAGAUAUCUGGGGAUGUUCAUCGACAAUAAGCUGGACUGGACUAAGAACACACUGUAGUCAUUUACAAAAAGGGACAGAGCUGCCUCUAUUUUCUGAGGAGGCUUUAACCCUCCACAACGCUCUGGUCAAACAGAGCAGCACCUUCAGCCAGAGACUGAUUGCUCCCAAAUGCAUCACUGAGCGCCACAGGAAGUCAUUCCUGCCUGUUGCCAUUAAACUUUACAUUUAUUCUCAUUUCAUCUUUAUCUUUAUCUCUUGUUUCCAUUCAUGCUGUAUUUCUAUUUCUACUUUGCAUGGAGCAUCUGGAACAAAAAUAAUUUUCCCCUUGAGAUUAUUUAAAUACUCUGAUUCCGAUUAACAAUAUUGUUAUUUCCCAAUGCUUCUGCUUUAUAUACAUUUUUUUCCCUUUUUUCAUUUGUGAAUGCAGGAAUAUAAGUUCACUGUAAUGAUUGACUUGAAAGUUGAAUGAAAGAUUUGUGCAUUUUGAAAAUAAGAGGCUCUCCAUGUCCAGAAAUAAACAUUGUGAUCAAGUUGUA